rnacentral:rRNA from 1 species
GACGAACGCUGGCGGCGUGCCUAAUACAUGCAAGUUGAGCGCUGAAGGUUGGUACUUGUACCAACUGGAUGAGCAGCGAACGGGUGAGUAACGCGUGGGGAAUCUGCCUUUGAGCGGGGGACAACAUUUGGAAACGAAUGCUAAUACCGCAUAAAAACUUUAAACACAAGUUUUAAGUUUGAAAGAUGCAAUUGCAUCACUCAAAGAUGAUCCCGCGUUGUAUUAGCUAGUUGGUGAGGUAAAGGCUCACCAAGGCGAUGAUACAUAGCCGACCUGAGAGGGUGAUCGGCCACAUUGGGACUGAGACCCGGCCCCAACUCCUCCGGGAGGCAGCAGUAGGGAAUCUUCGGCCAUGGACGAAAGUCUGACCGAGCAACGCCGCGUGAGUGAAGAAGGUUUUCGGAUCGUAAAACUCUGUUGGUAGAGAAGAACGUUGGUGAGAGUGGAAAGCUCAUCAAGUGACGGUAACUACCCAGAAAGGGACGGCUAACUACGUG